AAAUAUCCAGCACGCAACCGCGCUGUUGCCAGAUUUACAUAGCGGGAAUUUUAAAAUUUCUAAUGCGAAUUGGUUUAAAAUUUGACAUCCGAAUCUUAACCUUACUUUUGUGAUUAUUUAUCUUAUUUAUUUACAAAUGUAAAUAAAUUAAAACAAGUAUUGUAUGUACUGUGUUAUAAUUUAAAACGCUUAAUUAUGUUAGUCCUAAAAAAAUUAAGCCCAAAAGAGAUAUACUUGUUUACAGUGCAAAUUAAUGGCAAUAGGGAUUUACGAUUUCAUUUGCAGGAAAAACAUGGGCAACCUACCCAGUUGGUAAAAUUUCAAUUCAAAAACUCUUUAGAUUUUACUGUGUGGAUGGCAUAGGAAGAGAAACAAAAUAAUAUUCAGUACUGCAGUCACAGGAGUACAAAAACAUGAAGCAUCUUAUUAUGUAUGUAUGCCAUUCUCAAACAAUAAUUAUUGUACAAAACAAGAUAAAGAUAGAGACACAGCUUUAAAAUCCCAAGGAUCCUGCGAAAAGAAAAGUGAAAAUGUUGUCUCAAUUAAUGUAGUAUAGAUAGACAUUUUUCUUUAUUUUAGUAUUAAAUAAUUAUUUAGAAUAUUAAUAUGUAUUAGUUUUAAUAGUAUUAAUAUGUAUUGUAUGAAUAAUUCCCAUCAUGUAUCUGCUAGCUAAAGCAACAAAAUAAAUCAAAAUGAAAAAACAUUUCA